UUUUUUUAUGUAUGUUACAUCAGAACUUUUGACCGGGUGGACCGAUUUCGACAAAUUUUCUUUUAAUCGAAAGGUGGUGUGUGCCGAUUGGUCCCAUUUAAAUUUAUUUGAGAUCUAACAACUACUUUUCGAAUUAUAUCUAAUAAUGCGUUUUUACUUGACGCUUUUUUCGUCGACCUACGUUGUAUUAUACGUUAUAUCUUUUUACUGGGUGCACUGAUUUUGAUCUUUUUUGUAUAAAUCAAAA
rnacentral:misc_RNA from 1 species